rnacentral:rRNA from 1 species
AUACGUAGGGGGCGAGCGUUGUCCGGAAUGAUUGGGCGUAAAGGGCGCGUAGGCGGCCCGGUAAGUCUGGAGUGAAAGUCCUGCUUUUAAGGUGGGAAUUGCUUUGGAUACUGUCGGGCUUGAGUGCAGGAGAGGUAAGUGGAAUUCCCAGUGUAGCGGUGAAAUGCGUAGAGAUUGGGAGGAACACCAGUGGCGAAGGCGACUUACUGGACUGUAACUGACGCUGAGGCGCGAAAGUGUGGGGAGCAAACAGGAUUAGAUACCCUGGUAGUCCACACUGUAAACGAUGAAUGCUAGGUGUAGGGGGUAUCGACCCCUUCUGUGCCGCAGUCAACACAAUAAGCAUUCCGCCUGGGGAGUACGGCCGCAAGGUUGAAACUCAAAUGAAUUGACGGGG